UACGAAGGGGGCUAGCGUUGCUCGGAAUCACUGGGCGUAAAGCGCACGUAGGCGGAUCUUUAAGUCAGGGGUGAAAUCCUGGAGCUCAACUCCAGAACUGCCUUUGAUACUGGGGAUCUCGAGUCCGGAAGAGGUGAGUGGAACUCCGAGUGUAGAGGUGAAAUUCGUAGAUAUUCGGAGGAACACCAGUGGCGAAGGCGGCUCACUGGUCCGGUACUGGACGCUGAGGUGCGAAAGCGUGGGGA
rnacentral:rRNA from 1 species